rnacentral:rRNA from 1 species
GGCAGUCAAAGUAGGCAAAUCCGCUUUGAUAAUGCUGGGAUGUGAUGGGGAGCGAAAUUUAGUAGCGAAGUAGCUGAUUUCACACUGUCAAGAAAAGUCUCUAUCGAGGUUAAAGGUACCCGUACCGCAAACCGACACAGGUGGGUGAGGAGAGUAUCCUAAGGCCAGCGAGAGAACUGUUGUUAAGGAACUCGGCAAAAUGACCCCGUAACUUAGGGAUAAGGGGUGCCACCAUCAGGUGGCCGCAGAGAAUAGGCCCAAGCGACUGUUUACCAAAAACAUAGGUUUCUGCUAAGUCGCAAGACGAUGUAUAGGAGCUGACGCCUGCCCGGUGCUGGAAGGUUAAGGGGAUCUGUUAGAGCAAUCGAAGCAGUGAACUUAAGCCCCAGUAAACGGCGGCCGUAACUAUAACGGUCCUAAGGUAGCGAAAUUCCUUGUCGGGUAAGUUCCGACCCGCACGAAAGGCGUAACGAUUUGGGCACUGUCUCAACAACAGACUCGGUGAAAUUGUAAUUCCGGUGAAGAUGCCGGAUACCUGCGACAGGACGGAAAGACCCCAUGGAGCUUUACUGUAGCUUGACAUUGGGUCUUGGUACUACAUGUACAGGAUAGGUGGGAGGCUUUGAAACCAGGACGCCAGUUUUGGCGGAGCCAUCCUUGGGAUACCACCCUUGUAGUACUGGGACUCUAACCAUAGGCCAUGAAUCUGGUCUUGGGACACUGUCAGGUGGGCAGUUUGACUGGGGCGGUCGCCUCCCAAAAGGUAACGGAGGCGCUCAAAGGUUCUCUCAGUACGGUCGGAAAUCGUACGUAGAGUGUAAAGGCAAAAGAGAGCUUGAUUGCAAGACAUACAGGUCGAGCAAGGAUGAAAAUCGGACUUAGUGAUCCGGUGGUUCUGCGUGGAAGGGCCAUCGCUCAACGGAUAAAAGCUACCCUGGGGAUAACAGGCUUAUCUCCCCCAAGAGUCCACAUCGACGGGGAGGUUUGGCACCUCGAUGUCGGCUCAUCACAUCCUGGGGCUGUAGUAGGUCCCAAGGGUUGGGCUGUUCGCCCAUUAAAGUGGUACGCGAGCUGGGUUCAGAACGUCGUGAGACAGUUCGGUCCCUAUCCGUCGCAGGCGUAGGAAAUUUGAGAAGACCUGUCCUUAGUACGAGAGGACCGGGAUGGACG